ACUCCUACGGGAGGCAGCAGUGGGGAAUAUUGCACAAUGGGCGCAAGCCUGAUGCAGCCAUGCCGCGUGUAUGAAGAAGGCCUUCGGGUUGUAAAGUACUUUCAGCGGGGAGGAAGGCAAUACGGUUAAUAACCGUGUUGAUUGACGUUACCCGCAGAAGAAGCACCGGCUAACUACGUGCCAGCAGCCGCGGUAAUACGGAGGGUGCAAGCGUUAAUCGGAAUUACUGGGCGUAAAGCGCACGCAGGCGGUCUGUCAAGUCGGAUGUGAAAUCCCCGGGCUCAACCUGGGAACUGCAUUCGAAACUGGCAGGCUUGAGUCUUGUAGAGGGGGGUAGAAUUCCAGGUGUAGCGGUGAAAUGCGUAGAGAUCUGGAGGAAUACCGGUGGCGAAGGCGGCCCCCUGGACAAAGACUGACGCUCAGGUGCGAAAGCGUGGGGAGCAAACAGGAUUAGAUACCCUUGUAGUCCC
rnacentral:rRNA from 1 species